UGUCCAAUGCGGGAAUCGAACCCGGGUCCUAGUGGUCUAAAACCAAACGGUUUAACCAGCCUUCCACUAAGGGUUAAGAAUGUCGGCUAAUUAGCC
rnacentral:tRNA from 1 species